UUUAUUUGAGAGUUUGAUCCUGGCUCAGGAUGAACGCUGGCGGCGUGCCUAACACAUGCAAGUUGAGCGAUUUACUUCGGUAAAGAGCGGCGGACGGGUGAGUAACGCGUGGGUAACCUACCCUGUACACACGGAUAACAUACCGAAAGGUAUGCUAAUACGGGAUAAUAUAUUUGAGAGGCAUCUCUUAAAUAUCAAAGGUGAGCCAGUACAGGAUGGACCCGCGUCUGAUUAGCUAGUUGGUAAGGUAACGGCUUACCAAGGCGACGAUCAGUAGCCGACCUGAGAGGGUGAUCGGCCACAUUGGAACUGAGACA
rnacentral:rRNA from 1 species